GGUAGUCCACGCUGUAAACGAUGUCGAUUUGGAGGUUGUGCCCUUGAGGCGUGGCUUCCGGAGCUAACGCGUUAAAUCGACCGCCUGGGGAGUACGGCCGCAAGGUUAAAACUCAAAUGAAUUGACGGGGGCCCGCACAAGCGGUGGAGCAUGUGGUUUAAUUCGAUGCAACGCGAAGAACCUUACCUACUCUUGACAUCCAGAGAACUUUCCAGAGAUGGAUUGGUGCCUUCGGGAACUCUGAGACAGGUGCUGCAUGGCUGUCGUCAGCUCGUGUUGUGAAAUGUUGGGUUAAGUCCCGCAACGAGCGCAACCCUUAUCCUUUGUUGCCAGCGGUUCGGCCGGGAACUCAAAGGAGACUGCCAGUGAUAAACUGGAGGAAGGUGGGGAUGACGUCAAGUCAUCAUGGCCCUUACGAGUAGGGCUACACACGUGCUACAAUGGCGUAUACAAAGAGAAGCGACCUCGCGAGAGCAAGCGGACCUCAUAAAGUACGUCGUAGUCCGGAUUGGAGUCUGCAACUCGACUCCAUGAAGUCGGAAUCGCUAGUAAUCGUAGAUCAGAAUGCUACGGUGAAUACGUUCCCGGGCCUUGUACACACCGCCCGUCACACCAUGGGAGUGGGUUGCAAAAGAAGUAGGUAGCUUAACCUUCGGGAGGGCGCUUACCACUUUGUGAUUCAUGACUGGGGUGAAGUCGUAACAAGGUAACC
rnacentral:rRNA from 1 species